rnacentral:sRNA from 15 species
AAGAGGAACCCGGUGCAAAUCCGGGACGGUCGCGCCACUGUAAGCGGGCAAUCCGCAAGUCAGGAACUC